GGUGGUGUGGUGUGUGAUGAUGGAGAUUUGGUUAUAUUUAUUUUCUUGUGAGAAUGGAGUGGUGGGGUUACAACUUGGGUUACAACCCAAUUAGCAGGGCUAUAGGUGGUUAAUGGACGGCCUCUGGAACUAUAUAUGUGGUUAAUGAAAAUCGAUCUUGUUACCAUCCUGUGCAUGUACAUGUUCUCAUUCUAAAUCUCGAUAUAAAUUGUGAAUUUAGCGUAUCUUUUCCUUGUUGCUGUCCACACGGUCACACGGUUGCCUGUAUCCGAGAAACAGCAGUGCUUCCUUAUCUCCCCGUCCCCUCGCCUA
rnacentral:lncRNA from 1 species